UGGGGGUGAUGGGGCAGGUGGGGGCAAAGCAGGAGCCAAAAACAUUCCCAAUUGAUGAAUCUGUGGAACCUGAGAGCUCUCUUUCACCAAUGUGAGUACUUAGGACCACAUCAGCAUGGACUUCUGGAAGCCAUCUUUGCUACCAGGUGAGCAGAGCCUGCCUGGGAAUGAAGCCACCACAGAGGAAAGCAGACCCAAGCAAGUCCUGAUGCUACCAUUUGAGCCCCUGGAUCCAGCCAUGCCUGAAGCCAUAACUCCUGAAAUAACAGUUACCUGAACGAAUAAAUUCCCCCCCCCUUUUUUUUUUGGUCA